CAGGCCGGGCGGCUGGCGGAAGCGCUCGUAAGCAGCGAUCAGCGCGAGCAUCCGCGCGCGCCCGGUCAAACCUCCGGGCCGGCCUGG
rnacentral:tRNA from 1 species